rnacentral:other from 1 species
AGAAUACUGAAAUGUUUGUGAAUCUUUGUAAUUCAACCGACAUAACAGACACGGGAGUCUGCGUUUGAUAUAGGAUAACAUGCCACUGUAGAGUGGACUUUAGAAUAUAUUGACAAGAAACCCCCUUAUAAAAAGGCGGGUGUGAAUUAUCUGGGUUUACGGCAUUUUGGUUACAA